UACGUAGGUGGCAAGCGUUGUCCGGAUUUACUGGGCGUAAAGGGAGCGUAGGCGGAUUUUUAAGUGGGAUGUGAAAUACCCGGGCUCAACCUGGGUGCUGCAUUCCAAACUGGAGAUCUAGAGUACAGGAGGGGAAAGCGGAAUUCCUAGUGUAGCGGUGAAAUGCGUAGAGAUUAGGAAGAACACCAGUGGCGAAGGCGGCUUUCUGGACUGUAACUGACGCUGAGGCUCGAAAGCGUGGGGAGCGAACAGG
rnacentral:rRNA from 1 species